ensembl:lncRNA
GGCUGCACAAAACACAUUACAGCACAGAGGUAAAGAGAAUAGAUUUUAGUAAUAAAAAGACAUAGAUCUGAAUUUCAGGCUCUCUAGUUACUAGCUGUGAGAUCUUGGUUAAAUUAUUUAACUUCCGUUAAGUCUUGGUUUCUUCAUGUGGGAAAGAGCAACAAUCAUAACAGUUGGUACUAUAGAGUUAAAAUGAAAUAAUGUAAAUAGAACUAAGUCUGGCACAUUGUAUGAUCCCAAUAAAUGAUAGAUCUCCUUAUGUUGUUAUUGUCUAUGCACUCUUAAAUUAUGUAUAAAAACAGAGAUAUUGUAAUUUAUUUUAACGAAAUUCCUAAGGUUCUGAGUCCAUUCAUUCUCAUAUUCAGCACACAUAUAUAUUUGUCAUUUUAUAGCAGUAUUUUUCUCUGAUGUGUGUAUACUUUCUUGGCAAAACAAACUAAAUCAAUGUAUUGUAAAUCAAAUUAUAUUUGAUAGUGAGGGAUGGUAUUACACUCAAGAAUCAUAAUUUUUCAACUUUGCUGAAAAAGAGAAUCCUUUGAAAAUCUGAGGCCAGCUAUGUAUCCUCAUUAUGGCCAAAUGCACAAGUCUUUACAAUAUAAAACUGUAUAGUUGAAGGAGUACAUGGACCUCCCCUUAAAAAAGCUGAGGUUUUUCAGGAAAUGACUAAACAUUCAAUAUUGCAAAUAAACCAAUCCUUAAUUUAUCUGUUGUACAAACUCAAAUUUUCAUACAGGGACAUUUAAUGAAGUAUCUUACAUAGACUCUUGAUGUUUAAUGUACUCUGAAACAUAGUCAUGUGCCAUAAUGUUUGCCAGAUAAAAUCAUUUUUAAACCCAAGAUUAUUAACUAUGUUCUACCUAGCAGUUUUGUAUCCAGUCAACAGUCACUAGUGGACCAUUAAUACUAGAGUUGGGGGGUAAUACUGAAUCAUACAAUCUGAUUAAUGAUUUUCUUUUAUGUUUUUUCUGUAUCAAAGAGCCUGCAAACACAAUGACCUUUUUUCUCUAGAACAGUUUUUUUAAACAUUAUAGUUUUAGUAAAUAUCUUUUGGAAAUUUCUAUAAAGUACUUAUUUCCCUAGAUAUCAUACCUAAUGGGAGUAACUGAACAGUUGGAUCUUAUAAGCAAUCAGUAAGGAGACAAGUUUACCAUUAAAUACUUGGUUUUUCACUCCUGAACUCAAUACUACAUUGAAGGUAAUGUAAUGCAGUGUUUCAAUACUUGAAAACAGCAAAUGGCUAAUAGACUUUGAAGGCGUCCUUGCCAGCAAAAUUUGGUAUUUCUACUAAUAAAAACAAAUCAUGUCAUGUUGUGAAGGUGUGUUUAAAGAUAAGUUUCAAAAGAUACAAAAAAGUCUUGAGGAAACAUAGCUGAGCUAUGAGUUAACCUUUACAUGUUCAUUUCUGAAGUUGUAGACUAACCAGGGAAAUAUCUUAUUUUAAGCAGUUGUCUUAGUUCAGGACAAGCUAUGGCACCACCUCAUUUGUGGUUUUGAUCUCCUUUACAUCUUUAACUCUUGGAGUCUGACUCUUUGCUUCAUUUUUUUUUUUCUUUUUCAUAAGCAAAAUUCAUGAAACUUCCAUGUGAGAUUUAUGGUUUGUUUUUUUUUUUAAUGGCAUUAGGUAAAUCAAGAGACAAAUGAAAAUAUUUCCCACAGUGCUAAGGGACCAGUUACUUCCACUGGCAGGGGUUUGGUUUGGUUGCUGAUCUUCUGCAUCUGCCGCAUGUGAAAGGACAGGAGGGUCAUUCAGGAAACUCAAUAUACCCACAGAAGGAAACCAAACAUGACAGCUUAUUUCGGGAACCAUUCUAUCCUGAGGAUACAUUUGUUCUUGGAGCAGCCUCAGGCAGCCUCCCUUUCAUCAAAUUGCAUCUUGAUUAAAGGGACAGCUAAUGUCUACUACAUAGAAAAUGGUUUUCUCUUGACAAAGUUGUCUUGUUGUUAAUCAAUAUUUUAUUGUUAAAUGUCUGUUUCUUUGAAAACAGAUUGAAAGAUGGAUCCUAAAAGGAUGGGUAUAGUCAUCCCAUAACUCGGGAAUAAUAAAUCCUUAUAAUAAUGUAUAUGGCAUUUCUGUCUCUUAAACAAUAUACUUCUGAAGAAGGAGAUAUGGGAAUGUAACUUAUUUCUUUCUUUUUUUUUUUUAUUUGUAAUAUUUACACUUGUGGAAUAGAUCACCAAAACUGAUUUAGUAAUUAAACUAUAGAAACCAAUUUAGAAGCUUUUGUGUUUAGUAAAGCCCUUAAAUGAAAGCAAAUAAUUAAAUAUUAAUUGUAACUAAAAUUAAGAAUGACAUUAGUUAAGGCACUUAGUCAUGCUUUUUAUCUUUCAUUCUCUUCAAUAGCUUUCUUUUCUACCCAGUCUUGGGGUUUACAAUUCAUGUCACUCCUUUUUUAAUGAGAGUCAGAAUGGCCAAAAUCAUUCUUUCUUUUCUUUUUUUUUUUUUUCUUGCUAUUUCUUGGGCUGCUCCCACAGCAUAUGGAGGUUCCCUGGCCUAUGCCAGAGCCACAGCAACGUGGGAUCCGAGCCGCGUCUGCAACCUACACCACAGCUCACGGCAACGCCGGAUCCUUAACCCACUGAGCAAGGGCAGGGACCGAACCCGCAACCUCAUGGUUCCUAGUCGGAUUCGUUCACCACUGCGCCACGGCGGGAACUCCAAAAUCAUCCUUUCUAAAUGAUAAAUAACAACUGUGAUACAUGAAAAGCAGGAUGGUAGCUCCAUCUUGCCAGUUUCUGGGACUUCACAUUCUUGCUGAAUUGCAUUUAGACUCAGCAAGCAUCUCACAAACUUUCUCAUCGAAUAAUAAAAUAAUAAUCAAUGUCUUAAAAGGACAAGCAAUAAUUCACUGUUUGAGCUGUGUCUGGCAGAUUGUGAGCAUUUUUUUCUCUGUGUGGUAUAGACUGAGUGUUUAUAUUUAAGACUAAGAACACCAACAAAAUUGUUUGCUUUUUUGAAUUGCUCUAUUUAAAAUUUUCUCCUUAUUUUCAACCUGCCAUAUAUUACACUUCUCCAAGAUCAAGUUUCUUCUCUUUUGCUUGGAUUGUAGUUAAUAAUUCUCUUCUUCCCUAAAAUUAAGCAGCAAAUACAUUCCUCAAUAAUUUUCAGUUGUUUAAGAUUAACUUAUUUUUUUAAUAAUUUCCAUGGGUUGUCUAUGAAACACAAAUACUGUCCUGUACCUAAAUGGGCAGAUCCUAAGAGAAAUCGUUUUUCCACCAGGCUGACAGCUCAUGAUGAUGAAUAUUUCUAGAAUGGCUAAACGUUCCCUGCAUUGACUAAGGACAAAUGGUGCUGACUGUCUCUUAUUUGUCAUUUAUUUUCAACACACAGUCACAUCAAGUUCCAAAGUGUUGUCUUCUUGGUGAAGGAUAAUGAUGAAGAUGUGACUUAACGGGUUAAAGAAGUGACUCGACAGGCAUAUUUAGACUCUAUAGUUGGAGUUGAGAAUUCUUUCUUGCUACUCAGUGGCCUGAUAUUAGUUCUUUUGUAAGGGAAAUGUGUGUACUUUUCUCAUAUCUCCGUUCUCUCCUGUCUUGAUCUCAAUUCUUAAUCUUCUGAUCUCUCCUCCAAUUGAAUGAAUUCAAUGAAUGGUAGAAAAAAAUAAAGAAAUAACUAAUGAAAUGAACCUCAUUGAAAUAAAAAUAAAGGAAGCCUGCCGUGAAUUUUUGAGCUAAGCAAGACGUUUUGUUGUGUUGGUGGUUCUAUGAGGGCAAAGAUGAAGUUUUAUCAUUCUCUGGAUAGAGAAAUUAAAAUGAAUGUCUUUUCUAAGUUAAAUAGUCACAUCAUUAAACACAAAAAUUUCAAAAUAAUUUAUAAUCUAUAGUUACAAAAUGACUGGUAAUUUCAUGACUAUAAUAAGAUUAGUGAAUAUAAUGCAUUUUAAAUAGAAAUACUCUAUUUUGAAAAUAAAUGAUAUAU